rnacentral:rRNA from 1 species
UGGGGAAUAUUGCACAAUGGGGGGAAACCCUGAUGCAGCGACGCCGCGUGAAGGAAGAAGUAUCUCGGUAAAUGUAAACUUCUAUCAGCAGGGAAGAUAGUGACGGUACCUGACUAAGAAGCCCCGGCUAACUACGUGCC